AACGAACGCUGGCGGCAUGCCUAACACAUGCAAGUCGAACGAGACCUUCGGGUCUAGUGGCGCACGGGUGCGUAACGCGUGGGAAUCUGCCCUUAGGUUCGGAAUAACUUCGGGAAACUGAAGCUAAUACCGGAUGAUGACGUAAGUCCAAAGAUUUAUCGCCUAAGGAUGAGCCCGCGUUGGAUUAGCUAGUUGGUGAGGUAAAGGCUCACCAAGGCGACGAUCCAUAGCUGGUCUGAGAGGAUGAUCAGCCACACUGGGACUGAGACACGGCCCAGACUCCUACGGGAGGCAGCAGUGGGGAAUAUUGGACAAUGGGCGAAAGCCUGAUCCAGCAAUGCCGCGUGAGUGAUGAAGGCCUUAGGGUUGUAAAGCUUUUUUACCCGGGAUGAUAAUGACAGUACCGGGAGAAUAAGCUCCGGCUAACUCCGUGCCAGCAGCCGCGGUAAU
rnacentral:rRNA from 1 species